rnacentral:ncRNA from 1 species
GGGAUAUUGGUUGUAUAUUUUAUAUACAUGAAAAUGGGAAUUAGGUUAGAAUCCUGAACAGUCCUGCUGCCGUAUUAACGGAGAAUGCUUUCUAGUUUUACUAAAGUUAAAAAAGCCACUGAAUUUUUAUUUGGGAAGGCGAAAGCAAACAAUGAUGUUUAAGUCGGAAGACCUGCCAAUAUUG